UUCACACUUGCUUUCCUGGGGUUAUUGUCAGUUGAUCCUUCUUCUGAUUAAACUUCCUGCAGACUUUACAACCAAAGAGAAAAUGACUGACAUCUGUAAGUCCUAUGGUUUCUGGCCUGGAUAUCUGACACUCUGUCUGGAGCUGGAGAGGAGGAGGGAGGCCUUCACCAACAUUGUGUAUCUGAAUGACAUAAGCCUGAUGGAAGGGGACAAUGGGUGGAUCCCUGAGACCUUGGAGGAAUGGAAGCUUCUCCUACAUCUACUACAGAACAAGAGCACGAGGCCAACUCCUCAGGAGUCACUGAAUGCGAGCCUCAGUGAUGGGCCUGCCCCCAUCAAUGUGGAGAAUGUGGCACUCUUGUUAGCUAAGGCCAUGGGCCCAGAUCGGGCUUAGUCACUGCUACAGGAAUGUGGUCUAGCCCUUGAGUUGUCUGCAAAGUUUACCAGAGCCUGUGACAUCCUGAGGAUCGCUGAGAGAAGACAGAGAGCGCUGAUACAAGCCAUGCUUGAGAAGUGUGACCGGUUCCUCUGGUCACAGCAGGCCUAGUGGGAGAUCUGUCAGGACAUGGUAUCAUUUUGACCAAGUGGAAUCCUGCUCCGGAAACUUCAGAGGACUUUGCCACAGAAGGAAAAGGGAUACCUCAAACCAUGCCAGGAACAGAACCUGCCAUGCUGCUGCAGUUGCUCUUGCCACCAUCUCCACCUUGGCACUUGACUCUUGUGGCUCUGUGACCUCAGUUUGUCAACCACAGUCGUCUCUUGGGAGAAGUUGGUCAUGGUUCAGUGGCCCGAGCAUGGGACUGCUCACCGCCAUGUGGUGUUCAGUGCGUACACAGUAGUGAUUGCGAUGUUAGUGCAUCAGGGAAUCGUUUUCUACUGUGGCAGAUCUGUUGGGGGCAGACGCUUUGCUCCAUGAGGACAGAUAAUAUUGUGAACUGGAGUUCAGUACUAUUUACACUUGUCUGAGGCCAUCUAGAAAUUACCGAGUUAAGACUUAGAACAAUGACAUUGUUUAAAGAGUAUUACCCAAAAGAGUCAUGCACUUUUUUUUCCCUUUCUUUUUUGGAAACAGGGUCUUACUUUGUAACUCUAGCUAGCCUGGAACAUGCUAGAACAGGUCGACCAGGCUGGCCUAGACCUUCGAGAUCUGCCUGCCUUUCUCUGCCUUCUAAGUGUUGGGAUUAAAGGUGUGUGCCACCCCCCCCCCACUUUUAAAAAUUAUUUUUAAAGAGCUAUGGUAAGAGAAAGUCAAGCACUAAUGUAAGUUAUAACAAAUGAUGGUGUUAUUUAAGCCAUGUUACUAGAUUGUCAUUUGUGAGCCUUUACUUUAUGUUGUAUUGGUAAUAAAUGAUGAAGGUUUUG